rnacentral:rRNA from 1 species
UGGUAAGGUAACGGCUUACCAAGGCGACGAUCUCUAGCUGUUCUGAGAGGAAGAUCAGCCACACUGGGACUGAGACACGGCCCAGACUCCUACGGGAGGCAGCAGUGGGGAAUAUUGCACAAUGGGGGAAACCCUGAUGCAGCCAUGCCGCGUGUGUGAAGAAGGCCUUCGGGUUGUAAAGCACUUUCAGUUGUGAGGAAAAGUUAGUAGUUAAUACCUGCUAGCCGUGACGUUAACAACAGAAGAAGCACCGGCUAACUCCGUGCCAGCAGCCGCGGUAAUACGGAGGGUGCGAGCGUUAAUCGGAAUUACUGGGCGUAAAGCGCACGCAGGCGGUUUGUUAAGCUAGAUGUGAAAGCCCCGGGCUCAACCUGGGAUGGUCAUUUAGAACUGGCAGACUAGAGUCUUGGAGAGGGGAGUGGAAUUCCAGGUGUAGCGGUGAAAUGCGUAUAUAUCUGGAGG